UGCCUUUCACUACGGAAAAGGGCCGGGAAACUGGGUUUAAUGCCGUAAACGCCCUUCGGGGGAAAGAAUUUCGGUGAAAGAUCGGCCCGCGUUAGAUUAGGUAGUUGGUGGGGUAAUGGCCUACCAAGCCUACGAUUUAAAGCUGGUUUUAGGGGAUGAUCAGCCAAACUGGGACUGAGAAACGGCCCAGACUCCUACGGGGGGCAGCAGUGGGGAAUUUUAGAAAAUGGGGGCAACCCUGAUUUAGCCAUGCCGCGUGGGUGAUGAAGGCCUUAGGGGGGUAAAGCUUUUUCGCCAGGGAUGAAAAUGAAAGUACCUGGUAAAGAAACCCCGGCUAACUCCGUGCCAGCAGCCGCGGUAAAACGGGGGGGGUUAGCGUUGUUCGGAAUUACUGGGCGUAAAGCGCGCGUAGGCGGACCAGAAAGUUGGGGGUGAAAUCCCGGGGCUCAACCCCGGAACUGCCUCCAAAACUCCUGGUUUUGGGUUCGGGGGGGGUGGGUGGAAUUCCGGGUGUAGGGGUGAAAUUCGUAGAAAUUCGGGGGAAAACCAGUGGCGAAGGCGGCUCACUGGCUCGAAACUGACGCUGGGGUGCGAAAGUGUGGGGGGCAAAAAGGAUUAGAAACCCUGGUAGGGCAAACCGUAAACGAUGAAUGCCAGGGGGGGGGUAGCAUGCUGCUCGGUGAAACACCUAACGGAUUAAGCAUUCCGCCUGGGGGGUACGGGGGCAAGAUUAAAACUCAAAGGAAUUGACGGGGGCCCGCAAAAGCGGUGGGGCAUGUGGUUUAAUUCGAAGCAACGCGCAGAACCUUACCAACCCUUGAAAUCCUAGGACCGGCCCAGGGAUGGGUUUUUCACUUCGGUGACCUAGUGAAAGGUGCUGCAUGGCUGGGGGGAGCUCGUGGGGUGGGAUGUUCGGUUAAGGGCGGCAACGGGCGCAACCCAAAUUUUUAGUUGCCAGCAGUUCGGCUGGGCACUUUAAAGAAACUGCCCGUGAAAAGCGGGGGGAAGGUGUGGAUGACGGGAAGGGCUCAUGGCCCUUACGGGUUGGGCUAAACACGUGCUAAAAUGGCAGUGAAAAUGGGUUAAUCCCAAAAAACUGUUUCAGUUCGGAUUGGGGUUUGCAACUCGACCCCAUGAAGGGGGAAUCGCUAGUAAUCGCGUAAAAGCAUGACGCGGUGAAAACGUUCCCGGGCCUUGUAAACACCGCCCGGGAAACCAUGGGGG
rnacentral:rRNA from 1 species